rnacentral:rRNA from 1 species
GGCGUGCCUAAUACAUGCAAGUCGAGCGAACAGAUGAGAAGCUUGCUUCUCUGAUGUUAGCGGCGGACGGGUGAGUAACACGUGGGUAACCUACCUAUAAGACUGGGAUAACUCCGGGAAACCGGGGCUAAUACCGGAUAAUAUUUUGAACCGCAUGGUUCAAUAGUGAAAGACGGUUUCGGCUGUCACUUAUAGAUGGACCCGCGCCGUAUUAGCUAGUUGGUAAGGUAAUGGCUACCAAGGCGACGAUACGUAGCCGACCUGAGAGGGUGAUCGGCCGCACUGGAACUGAGACACGGUCCAGACUCCUACGGGAGGCAGCAGUAGGGAAUCUUCCGCAAUGGGCGAAAGCCUGACGGAGCAACGCCGCGUGAGUGAUGGAGGUCUUCGGAUCGUAAAACUCUGUUGUUAGGGAAGAACAAAUUUGUUAGUAACUGAACAAGUCUUGACGGUACCUAACCAGAAAGCCACGGCUAACUACGUGCCAGCAGCCGCGGUAAUACGUAGGUGGCAAGCGUUAUCCGGAAUUAUUGGGCGUAAAGCGCGCGUAGGCGGUUUCUUAAGUCUGAUGUGAAAGCCCACGGCUCAACCGUGGAGGGUCAUUGGAAACUGGGAAACUUGAGUGCAGAAGAGGAGAGUGGAAUUCCAUGUGUAGCGGUGAAAUGCGCAGAGAUAUGGAGGAACACCAGUGGCGAAGGCGGCUCUCUGGUCUGUAACUGACGCUGAUGUGCGAAAGCGUGGGGAUCAAACAGGAUUAGAUACCCUGGUAGUCCACGCCGUAAACGAUGAGUGCUAAGUGUUAGGGGGUCUCCGCCCCUUAGUGCUGCAGCUAACGCAUUAAGCACUCCGCCUGGGGAGUACGACCGCAAGGUUGAAACUCAAAUGAAUUGACGG